UGAUCCUGGCUCAGAACGAACGCUGGCGGCAGGCUUAACACAUGCAAGUCGAACGCCCUGGCAACGGGGAGUGGCAGACGGGUGAGUAACACGUGGGAACAUACCCUUCGGUUCGGAACAACGCCGGGAAACUGGCGCUAAUACCGGAUACGGCUUACGGGCGAAAGAUUGAUCGCCGAAGGAUUGGCCCGCGUUCGAUUAGCUUGUUGGUGAGGUAACGGCUCACCAAGGCGACGAUCGAUAGCUGGUCUGAGAGGAUGGCCAGCCACAUUGGGACUGAGACACGGCCCAAACUCCUACGGGAGGCAGCAGUGGGGAAUAUUGGACAAUGGGCGCAAGCCUGAUCCAGCCAUGCCGCGUGAGUGAUGACGGCCUUAGGGUUGUAAAGCUCUUUCGCACGCGACGAUAAUGACGGUAGCGUGAGAAGAAGCCCCGGCUAACUUCGUGCCAGCAGCCGCGGUAAUACGAAGGGGGCUAGCGUUGUUCGGAAUCACUGGGCGUAAAGGGUGCGUAGGCGGGAUCUUAAGUCAGGGGUGAAAUCCCGAGGCUCAACCUCGGAACUGCCUUUGAUACUGGGGUCCUUGAGUCCGGAAGAGGUGAGUGGAACUGCGAGUGUAGAGGUGAAAUUCGUAGAUAUUCGC
rnacentral:rRNA from 1 species